rnacentral:lncRNA from 1 species
GACUUAUUUGGCCAAUUUGAAAGAUUGAGUCCUGAAUAAGAUUGCUUGGCGUUUUAGUUUAGCCCAUGCCAAUUAGAUCAGUCAUAUGAUAACUGAUUAGAUGAGAUCUAAAUAAACCUCUCCACAAAUAUUAAGUCUAUGGAUCUUCCACCAUUGUAGAUGUACGGGUGUGCUACUGGUAUUGAUUGUUCUCGAUUGGUUAUAGUGGUUCAG